UUGCUCAUUAGUCAUCGGUGGGAUGCCUAUUUGCCGGGAGUAAAUAAGAAGUCUGUAACUGUAACUAACAUUCCCGGGAAAAUUACCAAUGUGCGCGACUGCGCCACAGCGUUGGGCAGAUCGCCAGUGAAUUCUGUGACUGUCUCCAUUUACCGCAGAUACUUGUGUUAGUAGUGACAGCACCUAUGCUUCGGAAUCGAAUUCUCAAACCCUAACACAGGGACAAUGUCAAUCGCCGCUCAAAAUCUCUCAACGAAUUCGAGCCAUCAUAUCUGCUUCUUCUGUUCGACCAACGUGAUUCAUGGCGUUAAUACUCUGAAACACCUUUACGCCUUAACACUCCCAAUCUACUCCAGGCGUGAUGGGAGGUCGAACUCCCUGCAUUUCGAAGUUCUUGGGCAGAGAGACUCUUGGCAGCGUAAACAACUCCAGCCCUUCGAGGCUGGUAGACAAUGGCGUUCCAGAGCCUUUGAACCCGAGGGGACCUUGCAAGGAGAGAGGCUCGAUGGUAAGCUUAAUUUGGACGCUUUCCUUUCGAUUGCCGAGGUGUUGUGUCUUGUACCAUCGACUAUUUUAACGGUCGGGUAUGCUGUGAAUUGGAUCUAUUUAAGUUCCUCGCAGAAGGCGAUUCAAGUGCCCUUGGUGAACGGGGUUUUUGUCUGGCAAUAUGUUUUGCUGGUGAUUGCUGUUGCAGUCGGGACUUUGAUUAGAAGAAGGCAGUGGAGGAGGAUCUGUAGGGAAUCGUUCAAGUCAGGUGGUAGGUCGAGUUUAAAUCUUGUUGAGAGAAUUGAGAAACUCGAGGAGGAUCUUCGGAACUCCGCUACUAUUGUAAGGGUGCUGUCGAGGCAGCUUGAAAAGUUAGGGAUUAGAUUUAGGAUUACAAGGAAGGCAUUGAAAGAACCUACUACCCAGACUACAGCUUUGGUUCAGAAGAAUUCUGAGGUGACUCGAGCUUUGGCAGCACGAGAAGAUAAUCUUGAAAAGGAGCUUGGUGAAAUUCAAAAGGUUUUGUUGGCAAUGCAGGUUCAAAUGAAUUGUCAUCCCAUCCAAAGCAGAAAGUUCCACCUCAGACAACUGCUCCAUCAAGCAUUGGUAGGAAGGUGGCGGAGAAUUUGGGAAUUGUUAACAUAGCUGGUGCAUUGGGAAUUGAAAGAAGAGAUGAAGAAGAUGAAAAACAGAGAACUUUUGAGAAAGAGAAGAUCAAAUCUGGAAAGAUUCAAGAGAAAAGUAGAAAAAAGGUCCCAAAUGAAGGGGAAUUCUGUUAGAGUGACCCAAUGAAGGUUUUUAGCUGGAAUGUCAGGGGUUUGGGAGGUCAGCUUAAAAGAAGCUUAGUGAAAGAAACAUUGAAGAGAGAAAACCCAGACAUAAUUAUUCUUCAGGGAUCAAAAAAGGAAGUUAUUGACAGAAAACUUGUGAAAGCCAUUUGGGGAAUAAGGGGUAGGAAAUGGACUGCUGUUCCAGUGGUGGGAUCCGCUGGUGGAAUCAUCCUAGCAUGGAAGGAAGAUGAAAUUUCAGGUUUGGAGAUUGACAAAGGUGAAUUCUUAGUCUCGGUUUUGUUCACAGAUAUUAAAGAUGGGUUCAGCUGGAUUCUUACCGGAGUGUAAGCCCCAACUCUCCUGAUAGAGAGAUUUUGGGACGAAUUGGAUUCCCUGCAUGUGGAGGAGGAUAUCCCGUGCCCCCGUGGUGUUUAGCUGGAGACUUCAACGUCACCAGAUUCAGCCUGGAACACUCCAAUGGUAGAGCCCCAACCAGAAGUAUAAGGAACUUUCUCUAAUUUUAUUUCUAGACACAACUUGUGUGACCUCUCCCUUACUAAUGGGAUCUUCACCUGGUCAAAUAUGCAAGAAAAUGUCAUAAGUUGCAGACUUGACAGAUUUCUGAUUUCUCAGGACUGGCUGGAGAGAUUCCCUAACCUUUGCCAAGAACUUCACCCAAAGAUUCUGGUUAUCUCACAAAGAUUUCAGCAAAAAGAUUGCAGCAUGGUGGGAAGAUUGCAAAGUAGAGGGUUGGGCUGGUUUCAGGCUAUUACAGAAAUUAAAAGCUCUGAAGAAAAACCUUAAAGCUUGGGGGAGUGAGGAAUUUAAAGCUGUUGAAGAAGAGAAGAAAGAAUUCUCACGGAGUUUAGAGAACAAAAUGGGACCCUUGAUGCUUUAAACAGAAGUAGAAGAGCAGAUUUGAGAAAGGAAUGGGAACUAGUCAAAAGAGAAGAAAUUUACUGGAGACAAAGAUCAAGAGUGAGAUGGCUGAAAGAAGGAGACAAUAAUUCCGGAUUCUUUCACACUUAUGCCUUGGGAAGGAGUAGGAAGAAUUUCAUCUCUAAGCUGAAACUGAACCAGAGGGAAGUGGAGAAUCCUGAGGAAAUUAACGAAGCCUUCCUUUCCUUCUUUAAAAACCUUUUCUCCAAGGAUAGUAAUAACCAAUUUACAUUGAACAGAUGGGAAUGCCUAACUCUAUCAGCUGAAAAGAGGGUUUGGUUGGAAAGAAGCUUUGAAGAGGAAGAAAAAAUGGCUGUCUUCAGCAUGGAUGGAGAUAGGGCUCUAGGGCCGGAUGGUUUCCCCAUUUUUUUUUCCAGCAGUGUUGGGAAAUAGUAAAGUCAGAUCUCAUGGAUUUUUUUCAGGGACUUCCACUCUUCUGCCAUUGUUAACAAAGGCCUAAAUUCAACCUUUGCCUCAUCGCAAGGAAAGGGGGAGUCUUGGAAGUUAAAGACUUUAGACCAAUAAGUUUGAUAGGGAGCAUCUAUAAAAUUUUAGCUAAGGUUUUGGCCAAAAGACUUAAAGAAGUCCUAGAAGAUCUAAUUUCCCCAAACCAAUUUGCUUUUGUAAAAGGGAGACAAAUUGUGGACAGCAUUCUAAUUGCAAAUGGGUGUGUGGAAGACAGAAAAUCUUCUGGGAACCCAGGGGUUCUCGUGAAACUAGAUCUGGAAAAGACGUAUGAUAAAGUGGAUUGGGAUUGUAUUUUAGAUUGCUUAAAGAUGCUUUGGUAGAAAAUGGAUCAGGUGGAUUAAAGGUUGUAUUGGUUCUUCUUGGUUUUCAGUGUUGAUAAAUGGUGAAGCGAAAUGCUACUUCAAGGCUAGUAGGGGUCUCAGACAAGGUUGCCCACUUUCCCCCUUUCUAUUCACUUUGGUGAUAGACAUCUUUAACUAUCUCUUUGAUAAGGCUAUUCUCCUUAACUUGGUGAAAGGAUUUGAAGUGGGAAGGUACAAGAUUCACAUUUCACAUUUACAGUUUGCUGAUGACAUAAUUUUGUUCUUGGAUGCCUCCAUAACCAACAUCACAAACACUAAAAGGAUAAUUGAAGGUUUCGAACUUAUCACUGGUUUGAGGGUUAACUUUUGCAAAAGUAGUAUAGUAGCUCUUUAACUCAGUGGAAGUGGAACUUCUAGAAAGAUUGAAAUCUUUGUUGGGGUGCAAAGAGGAGAAUCUCCCUAUUUCAUAUCUUGGGAUGCCUCUUAGAGGGAAUCCAAAAUCUCUCAACUUUUGGAGACCAAUGGUGGAGAAAUGUGAGAAGAAACUAUCAUCUUGGAAGAGGUGUUAUCUCUCAGAAGGGGGGAAGGCUUACUCUCUUGAAGGUCUCCUUAGCAAAUUUGCCAGUUUACUUCCUUUUAGUCUUCCAGAUUCCAACCAAAGUCAGAAAUCAGAUUGAGAAGCUUCAAAGGAACUUUCUUUGGGAAGGGGGUGGGGAAAAGAGAAGCCAUUUAGUCAAUUGGAAACAAGUAUGCAAGCCUAAAGAGGAAGGUGGUUUGGGAAUUGGGCACUUAAAAGAGAAAAAAUCUUCUCUCUUAGGCAAAUGGCUAUGGAGGUUCCCUAAAGAAUCCAAUGCUCUUUGGACAGCUGUCAUCUCAAGCAAAUAUGGAACAAAUGUAAAUGGGUGGGAUAGCAAUCUCCAUUUGAACAUGAUAAAGUCCAAAAAUCCUUGGAAAGGAACAACAACAAAAGCAGCUUGAGCUGAUUCUUGCAAUUUGCAAGGUUGGGAAGCUGAGGGAAAGCAAGCGGAACACUGUCAUUGAAG